rnacentral:rRNA from 1 species
CUCGCAGAUGACGCUGGCGGCGUGCUAAUACAUGCAAGUCGAACGCUUUGUGGUUCAACUGAUUUGAAGAGCUUGCUCAGAUAUGACGAUGGACAUUGCAAAGAGUGGCGAACGGGUGAGUAACACGUGGGAAACAUACCUCUUAGCAGGGGAUAACAUUUGGAAACAGAUGCUAAUACCGUAUAACAAUAGCAACCGCAUGGUUGCUACUUAAAAGAUGGUUCUGCUAUCACUAAGAGAUGGUCCCGCGGUGCAUUAGUUAGUUGGUGAGGUAAUGGCUCACCAAGACGAUGAUGCAUAGCCGAGUUGAGAGACUGAUCGGCCACAAUGGGACUGAGACACGGCCCAUACUCCUACGGGAGGCAGCAGUAGGGAAUCUUCCACAAUGGGCGAAAGCCUGAUGGAGCAACGCCGCGUGUGUGAUGAAGGGUUUCGGCUCGUAAAACACUGUUGUAAGAGAAGAAUGACAUUGAGAGUAACUGUUCAAUGUGUGACGGUAUCUUACCAGAAAGGAACGGCUAAAUACGUGCCAGCAGCCGCGGUAAUACGUAUGUUCCAAGCGUUAUCCGGAUUUAUUGGGCGUAAAGCGAGCGCAGACGGUUAUUUAAGUCUGAAGUGAAAGCCCUCAGCUCAACUGAGGAAUUGCUUUGGAAACUGGAUGACUUGAGUGCAGUAGAGGAAAGUGGAACUCCAUGUGUAGCGGUGAAAUGCGUAGAUAUAUGGAAGAACACCAGUGGCGAAGGCGGCUUUCUGGACUGUAACUGACGUUGAGGCUCGAAAGUGUGGGUAGCAAACAGGAUUAGAUACCCUGGUAGUCCACACCGUAAACGAUGAGUGCUAGGUGUUUGAGGGUUUCCGCCCUUAAGUGCCGCAGCUAACGCAUAAGCACUCCGC